rnacentral:rRNA from 1 species
UUCCAGCUCCAAUAGCGUAUAUUAAAGUUGUUGCGGUUAAAAAGCCCGUAGUUGGAUUUCUGUCGAAAAUGGGCGGUCCCCACUACGUGGGUGUAUUGUUUCAGUUUCGGCAUCCUCAUGGGGAACGUUGCUGCGCUUGAUUGCGUGGCGCGGUAUCCAUGACUUUUACUUUGAGGAAAUUAGAGUGUUCACGGCAGGCAAUCGCCUUGAAUAUAUUAGCAUGGAAUAAUAAUAUAGGAUCUUGGUUCUAUUUUGUUGGUUUCUAGAGCUAAGAUAAUGAUUAAUAGGGAUAAUUGGGGUCUUUGUAUCAUGGCGUCAGAGGUGGAAUUCUUGGAUUGCCAUGCGACAAACUACUGCGAAAGCAUUGACCAAGGAUGUUUUCAUUG